rnacentral:rRNA from 1 species
GAGGAAUAAGCAUCGGCUAACUCUGUGCCAGCACCCGCGGUAAGACAGAGGAUGCAAGCGUUAUCCGGAAUGAUUGGGCGUAAAGCGUCUGUAGGUGGCUUAAAAAGUCUCCUGUCAAAGAUCAGGGCUUAACCCUGGGCCGGCAGGAGAAACUCUUAGGCUAGAGUUGGUAGGGGCAGAGGGAAUUCCCGGUGGAGCGGUGAAAUGCGUAGAGAUCGGGAGGAACACCAAAGGCGAAAGCACUCUGCUGGGCCAUUACUGACACUGAGAGACGAAAGCGAGGGGAGCAAAAGGGAUUAAAUACCCCUGUAU